rnacentral:tRNA from 1 species
AGUAGGGUCAGCUAAACAAGCUAUCGGGCCCAUACCCCGAAAAUGCCGGAACCGGCCCCUACUA